UACAGAGGUCUCAAGCGUUGUUCGGAUUCACUGGGCGUAAAGCGCACGUAGGCGGAUCUUUAAGUCAGGGGUGAAAUCCUGGAGCUCAACUCCAGAACUGCCUUUGAUACUGGGGAUCUCGAGUCCGGAAGAGGUGAGUGGAACUCCGAGUGUAGAGGUGAAAUUCGUAGAUAUUCGGAAGAACACCAGUGGCGAAGGCGGCUCACUGGUCCGGUACUGACGCUGAGGUGCGAAAGCGUGGGGAGCAAACAGG
rnacentral:rRNA from 1 species